GGUGGCUCAGUGGUAGAACGCUUGCCUUGCAUGCAAGAGGCCCUGGGUUCGAUUCCCCAGCACCA
rnacentral:tRNA from 1 species